AUGUUGUACGAAAGGAGAGAAGGUUAGCACUCCCCUUGACAAGGAUAAAAGAGGCCCUUGGGCCUGACAACACACCUACAUGUAGGGUAAGGCAUUGCCACCUACUUAAAGUAAUCG
ensembl:snRNA